AUUGAACGCUGGCGGCAGGCCUAACACAUGCAAGUCGAACGAGUGGCGGACGGGUGAGUAAUGUCUGGGAAACUGCCCGAUGGAGGGGGAUAACUACUGGAAACGGUAGCUAAUACCGCAUACCAUCGGAUGUGCCCACAUGGGAUUAGCUAGUAGGUGGGGUAAAGGCUCACCUAGGCGACGAUCCCUAGCUGGUCUGAGAGGAUGACCAGCCACAUUGGAACUGAGACACGGUCCAGACGCCUACGGGAGGCAGCAGUGGGGAAUAUUGCACAAUGGGCGCAAGCCUGAUGAAGCCAUGCAGCGUGUAUGAAGAAGGCCUUAGGGGUGUAAAGUACUUUCAGCGAGGAGGCGUUACUCGCAGAAGAAGCACCGGCUAACUCCGUGCCAGCAGCCGCGGUAAUUC
rnacentral:rRNA from 1 species